AUGAGCAGCGAGGCCGAGACCCAGCAGCCGCCCGCCGCUCCCCCACGCCGCCCCCGCCCUCAGCGCCGCCGACACCCACCCCAGCACUGCAGGCAGCGGCGCAGGAAGCGGUGGCCCGGGCGGCCUCACAUCGGCGGCGCCUGCCGGCGGGGACAAGAAGGUCAUCGCAACGAAGGUUUUGGGAACAGUAAAAUGGUUCAGUGUAAGGAACGGAUAUGGUUUCAUCAACAGGAAUGACACCAAGGAAGAUGUAUUUGUACACCAGACUGCCAGAAAGAAGAAUAACCCCAGGAAGUACCUUCGCAGUGUAGGAGAUGGAGAGACUGUGGAGUUUGAUGUUGUUGAAGGAGAAAAGGGUGCGGAGGCAGCAAAUGUUACAGGGCCUGGUGGUGUUCCAGUUCAAGGCAGUACAUAUGCAGCAGACCGUAACCAUUAUAGACGCUAUCCACGUCGUAGGGUCCUCCACGCAAUUACCAGCAAAAUUACCAGAAUAGUGAGAGUGGGGAAAAGAACGAGGGAUCGGAGAGUGCUCCCGCAGGCCAAGCCCAACAACGCCGGCCCUACCGCAGGCGAAGGUUCCCACCUUACUACAUGCGGAGACCCUAUGGGCGUCGACCACAGUAUUCCAACCCUCCUGUGCAGGGUGAAGUGAUGGAGGGUGCUGACAACCAGGGUGCAGGAGAACAAGGUAGACCAGUGAGGCAGAAUACGUAUCGGGGAUAUAGACCACGAUUCCGCAGGGGCCCUCCACGCCAAAGACAGCCUAGAGAGGACGGCAAUGAUGAAGAUAAAGAAAAUCAAGGAGAUGAGACCCAAGGUCAGCAGCCACCUCAACGUCGGUACCGCCGCAACUUCAAUUGCCGACGCAGACACCCAGAAAACCCUAAACCACAAGAUGGCAAAGAGACAAAAGCAGCCGAUCCACCAGCUGAGAAUUCGUCCACUCCUGAGGCUGAGCGGGGCAGGACUGAGUAA
rnacentral:lncRNA from 1 species